rnacentral:rRNA from 1 species
UACGUAGGGAGCGAGCGUUGUCCGGAUUCAUUGGGCGUAAAGCGCACGUAGGCGGUUCGUUAUGUCGGAUGUGAAAGCCCUUGGCUUAACCGAGGAAGUGCAUCCGAAACUGGCGAGCUAGAGUACGAAAGAGGAUCGCGGAAUUCCCGGUGUAGAGGUGAAAUUCGUAGAUAUCGGGAGGAACACCGGUGGCGAAGGCGGCGAUCUGGGUCGAUACUGACGCUGAGGUGCGAAAGCGUGGGGAGCAAACAGG